rnacentral:rRNA from 1 species
CCUACGGGAGGCAGCAGUGAGGAAUAUUGGUCAAUGGACGAGAGUCUGAACCAGCCAAGUAGCGUGAAGGAUGACUGCCCUAUGGGUUGUAAACUUCUUUUAUAUGGGAAUAAAAUGUUCCACGUGUGGGAUUUUGUAUGUACCAUAUGAAUAAGGAUCGGCUAACUCCGUGCCAGCAGCCGCGGUAAUACGGAGGAUCCGAGCGUUAUCCGGAUUUAUUGGGUUUAAAGGGAGCGUAGGUGGAUUGUUAAGUCAGUUGUGAAAGUUUGCGGCUCAACUGUAAAAUUGCAGUUGAAACUGGCAGUCUUGAGUACAGUAGAGGUGGGCGGAAUUCGUGGUGUAGCGGUGAAAUGCUUAGAUAUCACGAAGAACUCCGAUUGCGAAGGCAGUUCACUGGACUGCAACUGACACUGAGGCUCGAAAGUGUGGGUAUCAAACAGGAUUAGAUACCCGUGUAGUC